rnacentral:rRNA from 1 species
UACAGAGACUGCAAGCGUUAUUCGGAUUCACUGGGCGUAAAGGGUGCGCAGGCGGCCAAGUGUGUUAGGCGUGAAAGCCCGGGGCUUAACCCCGGAAUUGCACCUAAAACUACAUGGCUAGAGCAUUGGAGAGGGUAGCGGAAUUCACGGUGUAGCAGUGAAAUGCGUAGAUAUCGUGAGGGAGCACCAGAGGCGAAGGCGGCUACCUGGACAAUUGCUGACGCUCAGGCACGAAAGCGUGGGGAGCAAAAGGG